GUACUCGCUUCAGUAGCACAUAUACUAAAAUUGGAACGAUACAGAGAAGAUUAGCACGCCCCUGCACAAGGAUGGCACGCAAAUUCGUGAAGCGUUCCAUAAAAAAAUUUUU
ensembl:snRNA U6 U6 spliceosomal RNA